rnacentral:rRNA from 1 species
AUUGAACGCUGGCGGCAGGCUUAACACAUGCAAGUCGAGCGGGGUGAUGGUGCUUGCACUAUCACUUAGCGGCGGACGGGUGAGUAAUGCUUAGGAAUCUGCCUAUUAGUGGGGGACAACAUCUCGAAAGGGAUGCUAAUACCGCAUACGUCCUACGGGAGAAAGCAGGGGAUCACUUGUGACCUUGCGCUAAUAGAUGAGCCUAAGUCGGAUUAGCUAGUUGGUGGGGUAAAGGCCUACCAAGGCGACGAUCUGUAGCGGGUCUGAGAGGAUGAUCCGCCACACGGGGACUGAGACACGGCCCAGACUCCUACGGGAGGCAGCAGGGGGGAAUAUUGGACAAUGGGGGGAACCCUGAUCUAGCCAUGCCGCGUGUGUGAAGAAGGCCUUAUGGUUGUAAAGCACUUUAAGCGAGGAGGAGGCUCUUUUGGUUAAUACCCAAGAUGAGUGGACGUUACUCGCAGAAUAAGCACCGGCUAACUCUGUGCCAGCCGCCGCCGUAA